GGCCACGUGGCGGAAUUGGUAGACGCGCUACUUUGAGGGGGUAGUGUCCUUACGGAUGUGCUGGUUCGACUCCAGUCGUGGUCA
rnacentral:tRNA from 3 species